AAUCAACGCUGGCGGCGUGCCUCAGACAUGCAAGUCGAACGAUUAAGACUUCCUUCGGGAAGUGUAUAAAGUGGCGCACGGGUGAGUAACACGUAAGUAAUCUACCUUCGAGUGGGGAAUAACAUCGGGAAACCGAUGCUAAUACCGCAUAAUGCAGCGGCAUCGCAAGAUGACAGUUGUUAAAGUAGCAAUUCGCUUGAAGAGGAGCUUGCGGCAGAUUAGCUAGUUGGUAAGGUACUAGCUUACCAAGGCUACGAUCUGUAUCCGGUCUAAGAGGACGGUCGGACACACUGACACUGAAUAACGGGUCAGACUCCUACGGGAGGCAGCAGUCGGGAAUUUUGGGCAAUGGGCGAAAGCCUGACCCAGCAACGCCGCGUGAGGGAUGAAGUAUUUCGGUAUGUAAACCUCGAAAGAAUGGGAAGAAUAAAUGACGGUACCAUUUAUAAGCUCCGGCUAACUACGUGCCAGCCGCCGCAGUAACAC
rnacentral:rRNA from 1 species